rnacentral:lncRNA from 1 species
CCUUGCUUGCCCCACGGCCGAGAUCAAAAUCUUUAUUUACCGCAAAAAAUAUAAAAUACAAAAACAAAUAAAAGACGUAAUAAUAGAGAGGAUCCGAAACCCGAAAGAGUCUCACAAACUCUCUACUGGAGAGAGUAAAAUUACCUCUGAGCACCUGAGCGAUUCAUUCUUUCUGGUCCCGAUUUCGCUUCGAAUCAGGUCCAUAUCGCUGUCUUUGCGCAAUUAUAUUGGAUUAAGGCUUUGCUGGUUUUGCGAUUUUGUUGUUUUUAUUUAUUAUUUUUUUUGUGGAUCUGUUUCCGGUGAUUAUCACUCAUUUCUCUUCGAUUGCGAUUACUUUUUAUAUAUUUAUUUUUAAUCAAAAUAUUUCGUAAUUAAUGGCUCUUUUUUAAGUGAUGAGUGGACUGUGUUUUUGGUUUGCGAGUAAAUUAUGUGAAGGAGCGUGAGCAGUCAUCACAACUACUUCGGUCGUUGUGACCUGCAGUGAUGAUUGAGCGUGUUUUCGGUUGUGUUUUCAGCUGCGGAAGGCAAUUUUUGGGGUUUUGUGACUGAAAAAUGAGUAAUUUCUGAGAAAUUUUUGAGUUCAAUAUGGAACAUAAUUAGGGUUUCUGUUAUGAAAAUCAUGGUAAUUUGCAGUGAUUUUGGUCUGAAAUGUAAUUGAGUUGUUUUGGCUUUAAUUUGUAUCAGUUUAGGGUUUAUUUUGGCUUUUUGUUAGGUAUGAUUUUACUUUGGUGUUUACUGUUUGUUUAUUUAAUUUUUUUAUGUGGCUGAUUUUGAGUUGGGCCAUGAGCUGAUUCUUCUCAUUUGCAGAUUUUAGGGGUUUUUGGGAAUUGAGAAGAGGGGUUUGGCGAUAUGACGAUGAACGAGCGGAAAACGAUUGACUUAGAACAAGGAUGGGAGUUUAUGCAGAAGGGAAUUACAAAGUUGAAGAAUAUACUGGAAGGGCUCCCCGAGCCACAAUUCAGCUCUGAAGAUUACAUGAUGCUUUACACGUAUCUAUUUCAACCACAUUUGGUUUCUGCAUUUGUCAACAUCUUAUUACUUGUAAUUCAUAAUUUUUUUUUAGCAUUUUUAUGGUAUUGCUUUUUUUUUUUUUCAAAAAAAUCUGUUUACAGAACCAUCUACAACAUGUGCACGCAAAAGCCUCCCCAUGAUUACUCUCAACAGCUUUAUGACAAGUACCGGGAGUCUUUUGAAGAAUGGAGAGAAUGUUUUCUUGCUUCUUGAGGGUGGGUUCACGGGUUGGGUGUUGUGAUUUUUUUGUUUGUGUGUGUUUUGUGUUUGUGUAAACUGUAAAGUGUAACCUUUUGAGUAUGUGAUUUCACUGAUUUGUGUGAUUAUGUGUGGUGUGCUGUGUGCCAUGUGUGUGUGUUUGGCCAUAGCAUUUUUUUUUUUUUUUAGCAACCUGAUCGGGUUUUCGGAUCGGAUUGGAUUUUAUCCGAUCCGAUCACAACCCGAUCGUGUUUGCAAUAUUUCAUCCGAUCGGGUUAUAUUAACAACCCGAUUCGACCCGAACCUGAAAUUUUUCGGGUCGGGUUGGAUCGGAUCGGGUAUUUUGCCCACCCCUAAUUAGAGCAUCUCCAAAAAACUCUUCAAAUAAGAUUAUAUUUCUUAUUUGAAGAGCUAUAUAAAUAUUAAACACUCCAAAAGACACGUUAAUUUAGAUUCUUCAAAUAAGAUUUGUUUCUCACUCUUUAAUAUUACCGAGUGAGUUUCUUCUUCUUUUAUUAAUUUAUUAUUAUUAUUUAUUGAAAAUAUAAGACUGCAAUAAUUAUUAUUUAUGUUUCUUUUAAAAAAUAUAAUGACAAUUCAAUUUGAUAGUGGGAAAGGUUUGAUUAAAAUAAUAUUAAUUUAUUCUUAUUUGGUGAGUCUUUUGAAGGGGAUUAUAUUUUUCUAUACACUUAUUUACCACAUCAGUAAGCAAAUUGAAAUUUGAAAAAUAAAAUUUAAAGAUCCUUUUGGAGAUGCUCUUAUAUCUUUUACAUAACAAGUGAUGAUUUUAAUUAUUUAAAGGUAAUUUGCAAUAAAAUUAUUAAUUAUCAUAAUCAAUUAUGCGAUAAUUUUAUCUUUAGCUAAGACACCUUAAUCCACCAAUUUUUCCCGUAUAACUUCUUUUUUUUUUUUUUCCUUUAAAUCAUAAUGUGGGAGCACAAAAAUGUACGGCUCAGUUUAAUUGAAUAUAGUGGAUUCUUUAAUGAAGCACAAUUAAUUUAUGUACAGCAGCAUUUUCACUCACUUUCUCGGUAACAAUACAAGGUGUACGUAAGGCCGAACAAUUAAAAAACAAAAUAAAAAAUUCUUCACAAUCCUUCUUCCCCUAGACCUAUGGUCACAGUCUCGUUGGUUUUGUAUAGUUAUCAAAUCUUUCACUUUCAACUCUUAUGAGUUAUGCCCAUCGCCUUGAACGAGAAACAUAAUAAUUGUUUCACUUGCUGUUUUUUUUUUUUUUGGACAUAAUUUCACUUACUAUUUAUUUAUCAUGAACUAGUGCGAAACAUAAUUUAUGGAAUACACUAUGUAUUAAAGUCAACAAACAAUAAGGUAUUUGAUGUACAUGGAAAGUACAUUGAAAGAGUGAUACUUGUGACUUUGAUUUAGAUUUAGUUUUUUUUUUGUUUUUUUAAUGAAAAAAAAAAGAAAUGAUUAGUAAUAAUUCCACACAAUCAUCAAUUUUAUCAUUAUCGCAAUCACAUGUUUUACAGUUAUAGUAUAUACAAAUCCAAAAUAUAGUAGUAAAUUAGGAAAGUAAAAUAGUUUACCAUACGAUUCUUAUAAGUUAAUAAUACCACACAAUCAUCAAUUUCAUCCCUAAUGUUUAAUGCAAUAGUCUAUUUCAUCCCUACUUUUCAAAUAAUAAUCUAAAAUAUCUUUCCGUUAACUCACCGUUAGUGUAAAGUAGUUAACUAGUAAUUCAUUGAGGGUAAAAUAUGAUUUUUUUUAUUAAAGUGAUACAAACUAUAUUAAAAUAUAUUUUUUACAUAAUUAAAUAACAUUACAAAGUAUACAAAAUUCAUUAAUUUUUUCUUAAAUGAAAUCAACGAUGAUAUUGUUUGAUAUACUCAUUGAAUAAUUGUCAUAAGGAACAAAUUGUAAUUAACACAAUAUUUUUAUUCUUUAAAUCAUUGGAAGAAAAACUCAAAAAUACCACUAAUUUUUAUGUGCUUGCAUGUGCUAAAUAUUUUCUUUAUCUUCAACUCAAUUCAAUAAAUUUUACUGUGCAAUUAGAGAGUAUACUUAUAUGAAUAAGAAAAUUGUGAUAUUUUUUGUACUUAGAUUUAGGGUUUAUAGAGUUUUCAUGCCGCUAAAAUAAAAAAGAAUGACUUGAAAUAUAAAAUUUUCAUCUUUUUCAGUAUUUCCUAUUUAGCGGGAUUUGAUAAAAUUAUUUUUAGUUAUAUGUCAACUUUUAUUUAUUUUUUUAAUUUUCUCUUUGAUGGAAAAUCUAUUUUUACCCUUAAUGAAUUACUAACAAACGACAUUUAACUAACGGUGAGUUAACAGAAUGAUAUUUUGAGCUGUUGUUUAAAAAAUAAAGAUGAAAUAGGUAAUUGCAUAAAAUUCUAGGGAUGAGAAAUAUUUUUUCCCGAUAUUAAAUUUUACCAAAAAGCAUUAGAAAUUGUGAGAAGAUUGAUGAUAAAUUUUAUUUAGUUUUUUACAAUCCAACCGAUCCCAAAGGAUAAAUUAUAAUAUUCUGGAGAAAUGAUAAAGUAAAUCUUAAAAUAAUGUCAUAUAAUAGAAAAACAUAUAUAUUAUUAUCCUUUCUAUUUUGUCAAAAUUACUAGCUUAAAAACAUCAACAUGAUUAUAAUAAUAACAAAGAGAGCCUCAAGUGUUGUUAGACGUAAUAGAAGGGAGGCAUGUGAAAAUUAUUAGGCAAUAAAUGAAAAUUUUUUUGACAUUGAUAUUACAGACUAUUACUCAUAUUAUAUGAAAUUACUACUGAUAUUAAUAUUUAAAGGACGUUUACUUCAAUUUAUUAAAAAAAAAAUUUCUUCACUCAAUUAUAUAACAUAAUUAAAAAAAAAAACUAAUUUCUACCAUACAUUUAUAUAGGGAUUCAAACUACCUCGCUCGCUACUGGGUAAAAGCUCGUUUAGUCCAUAUAUUUUGAAGUUAGUGUCCGUUUAGUCCAUAUAUUUUUAAAAAUACAUCAAACCAUUCCUACCAUUAAAUUAUUGACACUCUUGUUAUUAUCUUUUGUUCCUUUUAACUUAUUUUUAUAAUAUUACCCUUUUAUAAUAAUUUUUUUAAACAUUAUUAAAAAGAAAAAAUAAAUUACCAGUUUAACACCAAAAUUAAAAUAAAAAAUAUAUAUUAAUUUUUGUGGAACACUCUCUUGAGUUAAAAUAUUAAUUGUUCUAAAAAAAUUGGUAAUGUAAUUUUUUACAAUAUUAAUUUUCUAAACAUACGUGAGCUUCUACAAAAAUUAAUAUAUACCUUUUUAUUUUUAUUUUAUUUUAUUUUUGAGUUUAAUUUGAUAAUCUAAUUUUUUUAUUAAUAUCCAAAAAAAAUAUUAUUGUAAGAGUGUAAUAUUAUAAAAGUAAGUUAAAAAGAAUAAAAAAUAAUAACAUAAGUAUUAAUAUUUAACAGUAAAAAUAUUUUAAGAUAUUUUAAAAAAUAUAAAAACUAAAUAAACACUAACCUUAUAAUAUAAAAACUAAACAAACUUUUACCCCUUGCUUGCCCCACGGCCGAGAUCAAAAUCUUUAUUUACCGCAAAAAAUAUAAAAUACAAAAACAAAUAAAAGACGUAAUAAUAGAGAGGAUCCGAAACCCGAAAGAGUCUCACAAACUCUCUACUGGAGAGAGUAAAAUUACCUCUGAGCACCUGAGCGAUUCAUUCUUUCUGGUCCCGAUUUCGCUUCGAAUCAGGUCCAUAUCGCUGUCUUUGCGCAAUUAUAUUGGAUUAAGGCUUUGCUGGUUUUGCGAUUUUGUUGUUUUUAUUUAUUAUUUUUUUUGUGGAUCUGUUUCCGGUGAUUAUCACUCAUUUCUCUUCGAUUGCGAUUACUUUUUAUAUAUUUAUUUUUAAUCAAAAUAUUUCGUAAUUAAUGGCUCUUUUUUAAGUGAUGAGUGGACUGUGUUUUUGGUUUGCGAGUAAAUUAUGUGAAGGAGCGUGAGCAGUCAUCACAACUACUUCGGUCGUUGUGACCUGCAGUGAUGAUUGAGCGUGUUUUCGGUUGUGUUUUCAGCUGCGGAAGGCAAUUUUUGGGGUUUUGUGACUGAAAAAUGAGUAAUUUCUGAGAAAUUUUUGAGUUCAAUAUGGAACAUAAUUAGGGUUUCUGUUAUGAAAAUCAUGGUAAUUUGCAGUGAUUUUGGUCUGAAAUGUAAUUGAGUUGUUUUGGCUUUAAUUUGUAUCAGUUUAGGGUUUAUUUUGGCUUUUUGUUAGGUAUGAUUUUACUUUGGUGUUUACUGUUUGUUUAUUUAAUUUUUUUAUGUGGCUGAUUUUGAGUUGGGCCAUGAGCUGAUUCUUCUCAUUUGC